rnacentral:lncRNA from 1 species
GGAAGGGUAGGGAAAGGGGCACAGAAAAAUAUCGUGCAAGCUAGCACACUUUAUGCUUUUAUCUCCCUGUAAAACUCCUCUGCUUGCUAGUAAAAAAAUCUUUCACUGAGCUUGCAAAGGAGUUUUGAUGUGAAUUCUGAAAAGAAUUAUUAUUUUACAGAAGAAGCAAACUUUCAGCUAUAAAUAAACUCUCAGAAUUUGAGAGAGAAAGAUAAGUUGGGCAACACAUACUUGCCUGCCCUUCAACAUCAAGACCACGGAAUGGGGCUUUUGCAUGCAUAUGUCGCUUUAUAAUGUGUUUAAAAUGUGGGUGUUUCUUUUUAUCUUGAAACCAUAAGGUUUUUGCUUAUUAUUUUUUAAGGCAUCUUUGGUUGAUGUUGCUACUGGUUCCCUGACAUCUGUCCCUGAAAAGUAGGAUUUUCCUCUUAAGAAGCCUGUUUCUAUCUGGAGCUAACUGCAUUUACAAAUUCUUUUCUCCUUUCUCUCUCUUGGCAGAAGCAGUUUUCAAAGGAGUCCUUUCAGGGAGUUGAUUUUGUUGUAGAUGGUACUUCCCUGACAUAAUAUUCUGCUCCUAUCUCAUUCCUGCUCUUCCAUCUAUGAGGAUGUGUGAGUAGCUUUUGUCCAGUGAAAAGGAACCUUUGUUUGAAGGAACUUCUGUGAAGAGUGCCACUACAGAGAAAGUCAGGCACUAGUGAUGCAGAGGGAUCUGGCAGUGCUGGAAGAUCUAUGGACUGGAACACACAGUGCAUGAGUCUAUUUGAAACUGUUUGAUAAGUUACUCUGCUCACAGAACAAUUUGCUAAACCUGCUGCAUAUAUACAUGUUUGUUUAAGAGCUCAGCGCUCUGCUUUUACUGUUGUAAAUGGAUCGUUCCAUCCAGAAGAUGGCGCUGUCUGCAUUUACUUCCAAAUUACUUACCACAGAAAAAAAAAUUCUAUCCAAUUCAACCUUGAGUGUGGUAAUUCACUUCUGUGCAGGAUCGCAGAACACAUGACAAGCUGGGUCGUAAACAUCCAUGGAAUUGCUGUUUACCUGUAGUCAGUAAUCACAACUUUCUGAUCAGCCUCUCAGGUACAGGUAUUAAAUCUUUACUGUUUAGUUGGCAGUUUUGAUAUAGCUGGUGAGGUUGCUUCAUUCAUGGGGUUUUGAUGAGAAAGCAGAAAUAUAUGGGAACAGUCAGAAAAUAUGAGGAAGAAACAUGUAGACAUGAAUAUAAUUUUUUUUUUCCCAAAUUUCUGGGAAUUUGGGAAUUUGAGCUGGAAUUUGUCUCACUGCAGCUUGUACCCAUUGUCCUUUUUUGUUGUUGUUGUUGUUGUUGUUGUGGACCUCCUAUAAAAUGCUAGAUUCAGCUUCUCUACAACCACACAUUGAAUAGUUGAAGAGAGCAAUAAGAUCUUCCAUUAACCUUCCCUUCUCUAGGCCAAACAGUCCCAGCAAUCUCAAGGAUUACUUACAUGUCUUAUGUUGUGUACCAUUAAUCAUCUUGGUGAUUGCCAUCAAAUGAAAUGAGCAAAUGAAAUGUGAACCUCCACGUCUCUCAUAUUGCUCUAGUGUUAUAAUUCUGCAAUAUAAAAUUUACUUUUAAUAUAUGUAUGAUAUAUAGCUCUAUACUGUGCGCACAUUCUCUUACUGUAUUGACCAUAGCACUGUUUUCUUGAACUUUUUGAGAGUUAAAAUAAAAAUCCAGAGCAAUAUUACUUCUUAGAAAUGAAGAUUUGUGGAAUUGUGAAAUUAAAGUAUAUGUUAUCCAUAUCAG